GAGAUUAGCUAUAGCAUACACCUUAAAGAGUCCACAUUUACAAAGGAGUAAGAUGUACAAGUCUAUACAAGCACCACUUAACAGCAUAAUAUCCAUAAUAACGGAAGAUAGUCAUUAAACACAAUUGAAUUAAGAGAUGAAUGAUAGACUUGAAAUUUAAAGUAAGAUCCCCGUACCGUUCAGGUAAUCUUGUGGUUGUGGUGC
rnacentral:misc_RNA from 1 species